GGGUUUCUAAGCAAAUUUUAUUUUGUUUUUGAUAAAGCAUUCAGUUAAUUUUGUUUGAUUUUCCAUCUUGCUUUAGAGUAAGAAAUUUAUUGUCUAACUCUAAUUAGAGUAAUGAAUGUUGUCAGGUUUUUCAUCUAAAGAUACUCAAAUGGUUGAUUGUUGGCUCAUAUGUCUAUUCCAACGUAUAGAUUAAUCAUUAGCGUCACUAUCUUGGUGGGAGGAAUGUGGAAAUGAGGUAAUUCUUAUUUCAAUUCUGACACUGGUUUCAAAUAGGAUACAAAUAUUCAGUGAUCUUAGUUGGGAUUUGGCAAGCUGAUGAAACAAAGAGUUUUGCUUGAUAGUGGAGUUUGGAUGAAACUAGCUAUGCAUGUGUCUUUAGUUUUACCUCUAUUUGAUCUUGUUCUAAAAAAGCAAUAUUUUUUAGUUUUCUUUUGUAUUUUUUGUUUACUUAUAUAUGAUAUAUCAAGUAUGUCUCACUCAAAUGAGUUAUGUUUCUCGCAGGGUUACAUUUAGAUGUGUGCUGGUUAUGGAGCUCAAUUUAGAGGUAUGCAAGUUUUGGAGCUCCAUGUUUAUUUCUUGUACAGUAAACUUCUGCUGACUGAUUAAAGUGCUCCUUAACAGUGGUUGCUGAGGUUAGGAUUGUUGAUUCCAAUAUCACCAAAUUCAAUACUCCACCAACUUUUACCAACUUGUUAAACGUUUGAAUUGUUGUGUAUCUCUGUGUCAAAUUCAUGAUAAUAUUGUUAUUCUCCUUGAUUUCUUUUAAGCCAAAUAGUAUGUAAUUGAUUGUUGCAGUCUUUGUAAGUUAGUUUUAUUUGUUAUAAUUUUUGGAUUAGGAGAUACUUUACUUAGAAAGAUAAUUAUUGGACUAUGAUAAUAUAAAACUACUUAAACGAAUAGCUGUUAUCUUCGAUUAAAUCCUACUGCAUAGUUUAUAGAGUUGCCUAAUAUCCUUUCUGUUCUCUUCCAGGGAAUUUAUUACUUAAAGUUGAAAUUCUGCAAUAAUUAGUGGUAUUAGCCAUCAUUUGAUCAUCACCUUGGACAAUCUUUUUCUAGAAAGUCAGUAGAUUAUCAAAUGAGUAGGCACUCAAACGACAUGGGGAGGAAGCUUCUAAAAGAAAGUAGCAGAAGGAGGGGAAACAGAGCCGAAGAAGUGAAAAUAUCUCUUGUCCCAAUAUUAGUUUGAAUCCAGCAAUGUUUAAUUGUAAAGAUGUAUAGCUAUUCACAAUUUUAUUCUUGUAUAUGGAUCAUAUGUUUGCAAAUAUUUUAUUUUUGUUUAAAUUGUCUAUAGUGAAUGACAUUUGUAAGUACAAUUUGAACUUUGAUGGUUAUAUUUUCCUGUUAAUAAAAUAAAAUUUUAGUUUCUACAUUAAAAUGCCAAUGAGUAUUUUAAUUUUG
rnacentral:lncRNA from 1 species